AAAAAAAUAAAUAAAUAAAUAAAAAAAGAAAGAAAUAGCAAAUGGAAGGCUGGGCACGGUGGCUCACACCUGUAAUCCUGGCACUUUGGAAGGCAGGUGGAUCACCUGAGGUCAGGAGUUCAAGACCAGCCUGGCCAACAUGGUAAAAUCCCCAUCUCUAUUAAAAUUUUUAAUUGAUCUGUGGAAGUUCUAGUUAUAUUCUGGACACUAAUUCUCUGGUGAUUUAUGUAUUUGCAAAUAACUUCUCGUUUGUUUUUAACUUUGUGAUGUCUUUCAUCACAUGGAAGUUUUAAUUGUUUUGGAAUUUAUCUCAUAUGUUCUUCUUAGUCGUUUAUAGUUUUGUUUUUUCCAUUUUUUAAUCCACCUUGAAUUUGAGUAUUGUAUGAGGUAGGCAUCUUAACUCCCCCUGCCCUUGAUUGCCACUUAAUAGCCACACUACUUGGUAGUAAUACAGCCACAUUGAUAUACGUACUGUUUCACUAAUCAUAUGCUUAUUUUCCAGAGCAAUUUGGGGCUAUUUAUUUAUUUUUUAUUUUUAUUUUAUUUAUUUAUUUAUUUUUUUGAGAUGGAGUCUCUCUCUGUCACCCAGGCUGGAGUGCAAUGGCGCGAUCUUGGCUCACUGCAACCUCUGCCUCUCGGGUUCAAGCGAUUCUCCUGUCUCAGCCUCCUGAGUAGCUGGGAUUACAGGCGUGCACCACCACGCCUGGCUAAUUUUUGUAUUUUUAGUAGACAUAGGGUUAUUUGCCUUGUUGGCCAGGCUGGUUUUGAACUCCUGACCUCAAGUGAUCUGCCUGCCUCCACCUCCCAGAGUGCCGGGAUUACAGGCAUGAGCCACGGCACCUUGCCUGGGCUUUUUAUUUUUUAACUAUCUCUUUAUCAGUAGCUGUGUCAGUACCACACAUGCUUAGUUUAAUUCUGCUUAAUGAUAUGUUUUGCUUUCUAGUAUAAUACAUCUGUCUUAUUAUUGUUUUCCUAAAUUAGCUACUUAAAAAAAUUUUUUUUGAACAAAGAUGGGGUCUUGCUAUGUUGCCCAGGCUGGUCUUGAUAGCCUGAGCUCAAGUGGUCCUCCUGCCUCAGCCUUCCAAAGUGCUGGGAUUACAGGCAUGAGCCACUGUGCCCAGCCUCUUAGCUACUAUUUUAUUGUAUCUAAUGUGUAAAGUGAUUUACUUUUUUUCCGGUUUUAUUGUAAAAGAUACAUAACAUAAAAUCUGCCAUGUUAACCAUUUUUAAAUGGACAGUUGCGUGACAUGAAGUACAUUCAUGUUUUUGUGCAGCAGUCACCACCAUUCAUCUCUGAACUUUCUCAUCUUCCAGGCUUGAAACUGCCCAUUAAGCAGUAAUUCCCCAUUCACCCCUCCCCUGGCUGCUGGCGACGUCCAUUCUUUCUGCCUCCACGUGUUUAAUUGCUCUAGGUGUCUCGUAUGAGUGGAACCCCAC
rnacentral:lncRNA from 1 species